GAGAGGACGUCCCAGUUGGAACUGAGACACGGUCCAAACUCCUACGGAAGGCAGCAG
rnacentral:rRNA from 1 species